rnacentral:lncRNA from 1 species
AUGUCGGGGACAGGGACACGUGUUGGGGACAUGAGGUGUUGGGGACGUGGGUUGGGGACACGUGUUGGGGACACGACAUGGGUUGGGGACACAUUGGGGACAUGGGACACGCAUUGGGGACAGGGAAACGUGUUGGGGACACAUGCUGGCGACAGUUGUGCAUUGGGGACACAGGACACGUGUUGGGGACCCAGGACUCAGGUGCGUCGGGGACACGAGACACGUUGGGGACACGCUUGCGCAUUGGGGACAUGGGACACAGGACAUGAGACACGUGUAGGGGACACAGGACACGGUUGCACCUUGGGGACACGUGUCCAGGACACGGGACACGGGUGGGUGUUGGGGACAGGGGUGUACAUUGGUGACACGGGGACACGUGUCCAGGACACGGGUGCGUGUUGGGGACGGGGACACGUGUGCAAGACACGGUUGUGCAUUGACACAGGUCGGGGACACGUGUUGGGGACACGUGUCGGGGACACGGGACACGCGCCAGGGCACAGCGUGUUUAUUGUCACACGUGUCACCUCCCCACCGCAGCCGCCUGCGCCAACGCGCCGCCCCCGCGGUCACGCCGAGGCCGCGUCACGCGUGUGCGGCGUCACGCCAACGCCGUGUUCGACGUCACGCUGGUUGCGUGUGACGUCACGACGAUGCCACGUGCAACGUCACGCCAAUGACAUGUUCGGCGUCACGCUAUUCGCGUGUUCGGCGUCACGCCAAUGCCGUGUUCGAUGUCACGCUGGUUCCGUGUUCGAUGUCAUGAUGAUGCCGUGUGCGGCGUCACGCCAAUGCCAUGCUCGACGUCACGCCAACGCCGUGUUCGAUGUCACGCCGGUUGCGUGUGACGUCACGCCGAUGCCGUGUGUGGCGUCACGCCAAUGCCGCGGUCGAUGUCACACUGGUUCCGUGUUUGACGUCACACCGGUUGCGUGUGACAUCAUGAUGAUGCCAUGUUCAGCGUCACGCCAAUGCCAUGUUCAGUGUCACGCCAACGCCGUGCUCGAUGUCAUGCCGGUUGCGUGUGAUGUCACGACGAUGCCGUGUGUGGUGUCACGCCAAUGCCGUGGUCGAUGUCACGCUGGUUCCGUAUUCGACGUCACACCGGUUGCGUGUGACAUGAUGAUGCCAUGUUCGGCGUCACGCCAAUGCCGUGUUCAAUGUCACGCCAACGCCGUGUUCGAUGUCAUGCCGGUUGCGUGUGAUGUCACGACGAUGCCAUGUUUGACAUCAUGCCAAUACCAUGUUCGGUGUCACACCAGUUGCGCGUGA